rnacentral:rRNA from 1 species
GACGAACGCUGGCGGCGUGCCUAAUACAUGCCAGUUGAGCGAUGAAGCUUGGUGCUUGCACCAAUUUGAAGAGCAGCGAACGGGUGAGUAACGCGUGGGGAAUCUGCCUUUGAGCGGGGGACAACAUUUGGAAACGAAUGCUAAUACCGCAUAACAACUUUAAACAUAUGUUUUAAGUUUGAAAGAUGCAAUUGCAUCACUCAAAGAUGAUCCCGCGUUGUAUUAGCUAGUUGGUGAGGUAAAGGCCCACCAAGGCGAUGAUACAUAGCCGGCCUGAGAGGGAGAUCGGCCACAUUGGGACUGGGACACGGCCCAAACUCCUACGGGAGGCAGCAGUAGGGGAUCUUCGGCAAUGGACGGAAGUCUGACCGAACAACGCCGCGUGAGUGAAGAAGGGUGUCGGAUCGGAAAACUCUGUUGGUAGAGAAGAACGUUGGUGAGAGUGGAAAGCUCAUCAAGUGACGGUAACUACCCAGAAAGGGACGGCUAACUACGUG